rnacentral:rRNA from 1 species
AACAGGAUUAGAUACCCUGGUAGUCCACGCUGUAAACGAUGUCGAUUUGGAGGUUGUGCCCUUGAGGCGUGGCUUCCGGAGCUAACGCGUUAAAUCGACCGCCUGGGGAGUACGGCCGCAAGGUUAAAACUCAAAUGAAUUGACGGGGGCCCGCACAAGCGGUGGAGCAUGUGGUUUAAUUCGAUGCAACGCGAAGAACCUUACCUGGUCUUGACAUCCACAGAACUUAGCAGAGAUGCUUUGGUGCCUUCGGGAACUGUGAGACAGGUGCUGCAUGGCUGUCGUCAGCUCGUGCUGUGAAAUGUUGGGUUAAGUCCCGCAACGAGCGCAACCCUUAUCCUUUGUUGCCAGCGGUUAGGCCGGGAACUCAAAGGAGACUGCCAGUGAUAAACUGGAGGAAGGUGGGGAUGACGUCAAGUCAUCAUGGCCCUUACGACCAGGGCUACACACGUGCUACAAUGGCAUAUACAAAGAGAAGCGACCUCGCGAGAGCAAGCGGACCUCAUAAAGUAUGUCGUAGUCCGGAUUGGAGUCUGCAACUCGACUCCAUGAAGUCGGAAUCGCUAGUAAUCGUAGAUCAGAAUGCUACGGUGAAUACGUUCCCGGGCCUUGUACACACCGCCCGUCACACCAUGGGAGUGGGUUGCAAAAGAAGUAGGUAGCUUAACCUUCGGGAGGGCGCUUACCACUUUGUGAUUCAUGACUGGGGUGAAGUCGUAACAAGGUAACC